rnacentral:rRNA from 1 species
AGUGAACGCUGGCGGUAGGCCUAACACAUGCGAGUCGAACGGCAGCACAGUAAGAGCUUGCUCUUACGGGUGGCGAGUGGCGGACGGGUGAGGAACACAUCGGAAUCUACUUUUUCGUGGGGGAUAACGUAGGGAAACUUACGCUAAUACCGCAUACGACCUACGGGUGAAAGCAGGGGAUCUUCGGACCUUGCGCGAUUGAAUGAGCUGAUGUCGGAUUAGCUAGUUGGCGGGGUAAAGGCCCACCAAGGCGACGAUCCGUAGCUGGUCUGAGAGGAUGGUCAGCCACACUGGAACUGAGACACGGUCCAGACUCCUACGGGAGGCAGCAGUGGGGAAUAUUGGACAAUGGGCGCAAGCCUGAUCCAGCCAUACCGCGUGGGUGAAGAAGGCCUUCGGGUUGUAAAGCCCUUUUGUUGGGAAAGAAAAGCAGCAGGUUAAUACCCCGCUGUUCUGACGGUACCCAAAGAAUAAGCACCGGCUAACUUCGUG